rnacentral:rRNA from 1 species
CGUGCGAUUGGAUUGCACGUCUAAGCAGUAAGGCUGAGUAUUAGGCAAAUCCGGUACUCGUUAAGGCUGAGCUGUGAUGGGGAGAAGACAUUGAGUCUUCGAGUCGUUGAUUUCACACUGCCGAGAAAAGCCUCUAGAUAGAAAAUAGGUGCCCGUACCGCAAACCGACACAGGUAGUCAAGAUGAGAAUUCUAAGGUGAGCGAGCGAACUCUCGUUAAGGAACUCGGCAAAAUGACCCCGUAACUUCGGGAGAAGGGGUGCUCUUUAGGGUUAACGCCCAGAAGAGCCGCAGUGAAUAGGCCCAAGCGACUGUUUAUCAAAAACACAGGUCUCUGCUAAACCGUAAGGUGAUGUAUAGGGGCUGACGCCUGCCCGGUGCUGGAAGGUUAAGAGGAGUGGUUAGCUUCUGCGAAGCUACGAAUCGAAGCCCCAGUAAACGGCGGCCGUAACUAUAACGGUCCUAAGGUAGCGAAAUUCCUUGUCGGGUAAGUUCCGACCCGCACGAAAGGCGUAACGAUUUGGGCACUGUCUCAACGAGAGACUCGGUGAAAUCAUAGUACCUGUGAAGAUGCAGGUUACCCGCGACAGGACGGAAAGACCCCGUGGAGCUUUACUGUAGCCUGAUAUUGAAAUUCGGCACAGCUUGUACAGGAUAGGUAGGAGCCUUUGAAACGUGAGCGCUAGCUUACGUGGAGGCGCUGGUGGGAUACUACCCUAGCUGUGUUGGCUUUCUAACCCGCACCACUUAUCGUGGUGGGAGACAGUGUCAGGCGGGCAGUUUGACUGGGGCGGUCGCCUCCUAAAAGGUAACGGAGGCGCUCAAAGGUUCCCUCAGAAUGGUUGGAAAUCAUUCAUAGAGUGUAAAGGCAUAAGGGAGCUUGACUGCGAGACCUACAAGUCGAGCAGGGUCGAAAGACGGACUUAGUGAUCCGGUGGUUCCGCAUGGAAGGGCCAUCGCUCAACGGAUAAAAGCUACCCCGGGGAUAACAGGCUUAUCUCCCCCAAGAGUUCACAUCGACGGGGAGGUUUGGCACCUCGAUGUCGGCUCAUCGCAUCCUGGGGCUGUAGUCGGUCCCAAGGGUUGGGCUGUUCGCCCAUUAAAGCGGUACGCGAGCUGGGUUCAGAACGUCGUGAGACAGUUCGGUCCCUAUCCGUCGUGGGCGUAGGAAAUUUGAGAGGAGCUGUCCUUAGUACGAGAGGACCGGGAUGGACAUACCUCUGGUGUACCAGUUGUCGUGCCAACGGCAUAGCUGGGUAGCUAUGUGUGGACGGGAUAAGUGCUGAAAGCAUCUAAGCAUGAAGCCCCCCUCAAGAUGAGAUUUCCCAACUUCGGUUAUAAGAUCCCUCAAAGAUGAUGAGGUUAAUAGGUUCGAGGUGGAAGCAUGGUGACAUGUGGAGCUGACGAAUACUAAUCGAUCGAAGACUUAAUCAA